UGUUUGAAGUCCAUAUUGAAGCUUCGACUAAAUUCGGAUCGUGCACUGCAGAGCUCAUUCAAGGGUGACACUCUUAACAUGAUUAACUCCAUACCAGGCUCAAACCUGAGACCUCUGGUUAAGGGUGAAACAAUCCUACCACUGCAGCACUGCAGAACUCAGAACUUUUUGAAUCGCGCACUGCAGAACUCAUUUGAGGGUGAUGCUCCUAACAACAUUUUCUCCAUAUAUACCCAAGGCUUGAGCCCGAAACCUCUCGUUAAGGAUGAAACAAUCUCAUCACUAUACCACAACAAAUUAUGUUUGUAGCAACCUUAUAGCACUUGUGGAAUAUGAGAGCAUUGGAGGCAAAUGGCACCAAAAUCAUGUAUAUAUGAUGUGAUGGCUCUUUGAUUAGCCAAGAUGUGUGUGAGCAACAUUAUUAGCUAGCUAGCUACAAGAGAAAAAUAUCAUUU
rnacentral:lncRNA from 1 species